rnacentral:rRNA from 1 species
UCCCCAGGCGGAGUGCUUAAUGCGUUAGCUGCAGCACUAAGGGGCGGAAACCCCCUAACACUUAGCACUCAUCGUUUACGGCGUGGACUACCAGGGUAUCUAAUCCUGUUUGAUCCCCACGCUUUCGCACAUCAGCGUCAGUUACAGACCAGAAAGUCGCCUUCGCCACUGGUGUUCCUCCAUAUCUCUGCGCAUUUCACCGCUACACAUGGAAUUCCACUUUCCUCUUCUGCACUCAAGUUUUCCAGUUUCCAAUGACCCUCCACGGUUGAGCCGUGGGCUUUCACAUCAGACUUAAAAAACCGCCUACGCGCGCUUUACGCCCAAUAAUUCCGGAUAACGCUUGCCACCUACGUAUUACCGCGGCUGCUGGCACGUAGUUAGCCGUGGCUUUCUGAUUAGGUACCGUCAAGAUGUGCACAGUUACUUACACAUAUGUUCUUCCCUAAUAACAGAGUUUUACGAUCCGAAGACCUUCAUCACUCACGCGGCGUUGCUCCGUCAGGCUUUCGCCCAUUGCGGAAGAUUCCCUACUGCUGCCUCCCGUAGGAGUCUGGACCGUGUCUCAGUUCCAGUGUGGCCGAUCACCCUCUCA